GAGAAAUCCGAUCCGAUGCGCGCUAGGCGGCGGCGGCGGAGCACAGUGAAACCCACCUGAGGGGGAAGGGUUGGGGGGAACCCAAUCUUGAUGGAGCCCCUCCCCAUGCGGGCACUUUGGGCACUUCCUGAAGUCCUACCUGGCCACCCGCCUGCCCGGGGCAUCAGGCAUCGCCACUUCACUGGGGAGAAAAGCCAGACCGCCGCAGUUCACGGAGCGGUAGGAAUUGCGGUGGAAUUCCAGGCCGGAGUGUGUGACCCUACGCCCUAGCUCCGUCCUCUCCUCCACCCCGAGGCGAGCAGGUGUCUGCAGGAGUGCCUCCAACCCCAUUGCAAAGCGGACGUGGCCCUCGUCUCGAUGUCGGCGCUGCUCGCCGAGAGGGACCCCGGGGUGGUGUUGGG
rnacentral:lncRNA from 1 species